rnacentral:ncRNA from 1 species
CUUAUCAAGAGAAGUGGAGGGACUGGCCCAAUGAAACUUCGGCAACAUGGUUAAGCGUGUGCCAAUUCCAGAAGCAUGUCAGUGCUUGAAGAUAAG